rnacentral:lncRNA from 10 species
AUGGGAUUUUAGUAGCAACAAUCUCAAAUGACUAACAAGUGCAGAAUUUAUAACCCAGUCUAGGUGUGGUGCUUUGUUCUAAGUGUUAGAUAAGCACAGCAUUGGUAGCCAUCUCAGCCCAUGCUCUAUGGUCCCCCAAGUUGGAGGUAAUUAGACUUUGGUUACGAUGGCAUCUGAACAGGCAGAAAGACUGUUGGCAACAUUUUCUCACAAAGCCAUAUGCCAGCAUCACUGGAGUGACUGCAUCUCCAAGGACAUGUGUGCCACUGUGGGAGGACACCUAAGCUGUGUGUAGAGGGAAGCCACUUCACUAAGAGGCCUCCACCCUUCAGAGUUAGAGGAUGGUGUGAAACCUCCCGCCAGAAAGGCUGGUAGAGAAGGCCUUCUAAGUUCUGAAUUUAAUCCUUUCUUCUGUCUCCUGUUAUCCUCUGAAUUGUGACCCCAAAAUUCAUAUGCUGAAAUCCUAGUUCCUAAUACAUAAAAAUGUGAUCGUAUUUGGAGAGAGGGUCUUUAAGGAAGUAAUUAAAUGAAAAUGAAGUCAUUGGGGUGGGCCCUAAUUCAGUGUUACUGGCAUCCUUAGAAGAAGAGAAAAUCUGGACACAGAUAGGUACAGAGGGAAGGCCACGGGAACAAGAUGGCCACGUGCAAGUGCAGGAGAGAUGCUGCAGUAGAAAUCAACCCUGACAACCUUGAUCUUAGACUUGUAGCCUCCAGGACUGUGAGAAAAUAAAUUUCUGUUGUUUAAGCCACCUGGCCUGUGGUAUGUUGUUGUGGCAGCACCAGCAAAUUAAAGACCACCCCCACCCCCACCCCCAUUUAUACUCCAAACACAUAAAAUGAUAGAUAAAAUAGAGCAAGAGGUAAACUAGAAAUAUCUAGCCAUGUUUUAAGAUAAGGUAAAUAUCUCAACGGAUGAGAUUUGCAAAAUAGCCUGAGGGGCUAAAGCUGUGUGUCUGCUGGAUGUCAAGUCAGGUAGCAGGCCGUGAAUCUAACAUGUGAAAGGGUAGGAAUAAAAACACCCUUUCCAACUCACUCAGGUGGGGACCAGAGCCAAGCUCACUGCUUGAAGCCAGGGCCUAAUGUGAUUCAUCCACCUGUGAGUGGGGGCUGCUAACAGAAGCUGUUACCAGCGACUACCUUAUGCUAAUUACUACAUGCCUAGUGAGCGGGAGAUGGAAGGACACAUGUAAGGCAAACGUACAUUGCCUUGAGAUUAACAUUUGAGCCAAAAUGCUCCAGUUAGAUCUGUGAUAUCUCCAAUGUCAUUAAGAGACAAGAGCUUCAAAGCCUCAUUUCCAAGUCUCUUAGUUCUAGACUAGGAAGUCAAGGUCACUGCAAAACUGCUUUACAGGAGGAAGGGAGGGAGGCAGAGAGACAGAGAGAACUUCUCACUCAAGGAGAAUCUGCAAACUAAAAUCCCAAGCAUGUAAAGAAAAUUAACACCUGAACUAACAGCCUAUCCCUUUAAGAGUUGAAAGGAGGACACUGUUAGGUCUUUUGCUCCCUCGCAGUGGAGUUUAACUGAAGGAAUGCAUUUGGCCAGGAUCCCAAAUUGCCAACUCAUUCAUCAGUCAUUGCUUCAUGUUCCUAGGAGGCAUGUAUAUCAAAUACUGCACCAGACGCAAUUACUGAAUAGCGAGUUAUAGAAAUCUCAUGAGAUAACUCUAGGACCCGCUCUGCUGGUGUCUCAGCAGAACCACACAUAGUUGAGAGGAUUCCUUUUGCCUCUCCAGACUAAGGUGUCUCCUUGGUCCCUCUCUUCUGGAUUCACUCCUUAUCUUAGUCUUCUUGACACACACUGCCAUUCUCCCUAAUGAAGAGGUGUAGAAAAGUGAGUUCAAAUAGAGAAUUUCCCUGUAAGAUCUAGAAUAGAGCUGGAUUAAGUGGCUUACUUCCUAAUAAUAAAGUUUCCAGUGGAAAGGUGACACCAAGAUAUUUUCCCUUGGAAGAUAGAAAAAUGCCAUCCCAAAGUUUACAAACAUGGAUGUCUUUUAAAUUUGAGAUUGUAAUUUAUUUUUGCAGAAGCUUAACAUUUUGAUGGGAAAAGCCACUUGAGUUAGCUCUUUUACUUAAACACAUAUAAGGCAAAUACCUUUUUUCACCCUAUCAUUGGGGAAAAAACUAGAAUGCAUUCAUAUAACACAAACUAGAUGCUUUAGCAUCUAGUUAAAUGUUUUGUUUAGUAAUUGGAAGAAUUUUGCCUCUGCAAAAUUAGGUAUGGUUUUCUCUUAAAUUUGGAGUUAGGCCACUCUGUACUUGAAAUUAUAAUUUUUUUUGUAGGGGGGAGGUACAUAUGUGUAUAUGAGUUUGUGUUUCAUAGCAUGUGUGUUAUUCAGUUGCUUCUAGGAAAUUGGAAGUAGGACUUUGAUUGUGGCAAAGGCAACAUACAGAAUUGGUCUUCUUGCCUAAUGUUAGAGGUGAAAUCAAGAUUUUGACUAAGCUGGUAUAAGACUUGCUAGGCUGGAUUACUGGUAUCCUACAUUUGGUGUUAUCUCAGAUUGACUAAUCCAC